rnacentral:rRNA from 1 species
UUAAAUUGAGAGUUUGAUCCUGGCUCAGGAUGAACGCUGGCGGCGUGCCUAAUACAUGCAAGUCGUACGCUAGCCGCUGAAUUGAUCCUUCGGGUGAAGUGAGGCAAUGACUAGAGUGGCGAACUGGUGAGUAACACGUAAGAAACCUGCCCUUUAGUGGGGGAUAACAUUUGGAAACAGAUGCUAAUACCGCGUAACAACAAAUCACACAUGUGAUCUGUUUGAAAGGUCCUGUUGGAUCGCUAGAGGAUGGUCUUGCGGCUUAUUAGCUUGUUGGUAGGGUAGAAGCCUACUAAGGCAAUGAUGCGUAGACGAGUUGAGAGACUGGACGGCCAAAUUGGGACUGAUACACUGCCCAAACUCCUAAGGGAGGCUGCAGUAGGGAAUUUUCCGCAAUGCACGAAAGUGUGACGGA